rnacentral:rRNA from 1 species
UCGAGGAUCUUCCGCAAUGGACGCAAGUCUGACGGAGCGACGCCGCGUGUAGGACGAAGGCCCUAGGGCUGUAAACUACUGUCACAGGUUAUGAAAGGGCAUGCGUUAACAGCGCAUGUCUUGACGUAAGCCUGAAAGGAAGCACCGGCUAACUCUGUGCCAGCAGCCGCGGUAAUACAGAGGGUGCAAACGUUGUUCGGAAUCACUGGGCAUAAAGCGCACGUAGGCGGCCGAGUAAGUGUGGAGUGAAAGCCCACGGCUCACCCGUGGAAUUGCUUCGCAUACUGCUUGGCUCGAGGAAGGUAGGGGAGAGCAGAACUCUUGGAGGAGCGGUGAAAUGCGUGGAUAUCAAGAGGAAUACCAGUGGCGAAGGCGGCUCUCUGGUCCUUUUCUGACGCUGAGGUGCGAAAGCUAGGGUAGCAAACGGGAUUAGAUACCCCGGUAGUCCUAGCCGUAAACGAUGGAUACUAGCUAGAGG